GAUGAACGCUGGCGGCGUGCCUAAUACAUGCAAGUCGAGCGAACAGACGAGGAGCUUGCUCCUCUGACGUUAGCGGCGGACGGGUGAGUAACACGUGGAUAACCUACCUAUAAGACUGGGAUAACUUCGGGAAACCGGAGCUAAUACCGGAUACUAUAUUGAACCGCAUGGUUCAAUAGUGAAAGACGAUUUUGCUGUCACUUGUAGAUGGAUCCGCGCCGCAUUAGCUAGUUGGUAAGGUAACGGCUUACCAAGGCAACGAUGCGUAGCCGACCUGAGAGGGUGAGCGGCCACACUGGAACUGAGACACGGUCCAGACUCCUACGGGAGGCAGCAGUAGGGAAGCUUCCGCAAUGGGCGAAAGCCUGACGGAGCAACGCCGCGUGAGUGAUGAAGGUCUUCGGAUCGUAAAACUCUGUUAUUAGGGAAGAAGAAAUGUGUAAGUAACUAUGCACGUGUUGACGGUACCUAAUCAGAAAGCCACGGCUAACUACGUG
rnacentral:rRNA from 1 species